rnacentral:rRNA from 1 species
CUUCGGAUCGUAAACCCCUGUCGAAUGGGACGAACGACUCGCGAGUUAAUACUUCGCGGGAGUGACGGUACCGUUAAAGGAAGCCACGGCUAACUCUGUGCCAGCAGCCGCGGUAAUACAGAGGUGGCAAGCGUUGUUCGGAAUUACUGGGCGUAAAGGGCGCGUAGGCGGCCUUCUAAGUCAGACGUGAAAUCCCCCGGCUUAACCUGGGAACUGCGUCUGAUACUGGGAAGCUUGAGUAUGGGAGAGGGAUGUAGAAUUCCAGGUGUAGCGGUGAAAUGCGUAGAUAUCUGGAGGAAUACCGGUGGCGAAGGCGGCAUCCUGGACCAUAACUGACGCUGAGGCGCGAAACUAGGGGAGCAAACGGGAUUAGAUACCCCGGUAGUCCUAGCCCUAAACGAUGAAUGCUUGGUGUGGCGGGUAUCGAUCCCUGCCGUGCCGAAGCUAACGCAUUAAGCAUUCCGCCUGGGGAGUACGGUCGCAAGGCUG